CCGGAUGAAGUGUGCGGAGACAGGCGGAGCGGCCCGUGGAAAAACACCAUGGAGGGCCUGCACAAAGGGGGUUUUAUUCAAAUUUGUUUAGAGUUUAGCGGAUUUGCAUGAAAAAUGUGUGAGAAAAGCCGGCUCCAAUGACCUCAUCCCCAGCUGCCAUUAAUGUUCAAUUAAGUGCUGAAUAGUAGCAAAGGGGGGACCGGCCGGGACGUGCAGAGAAUCCAGGCUCGGGCGCAGACUGUGAGAACCGGGCGGCCCCCCCGACCGUCUGGCCCCGGCCAGCCCCGACGGGGUCCCCCCGCCGCCGCCCCGCUCUGCACCGGGAGGUGCGCUGAGCCCGUCGGGUCUCAGCCCGUCUGGGUUAUUCCCCGCAUCAGUCGCAUUCUGAAGCAGAGUGCUCCCCCGCCGCGUCCAAGGUGGGUGUUUGGAGGGGGUAAUGCCCCUCUCUGCGUUGCCGGGGCUGGUGUCACUCCCCCCGCAGCCCGCCUCGCCCGGCCCGAAGCCGCUCUCCGCCUGGCAGACGGUGUCAAAGCCCAAGUUCAAGUCCACGCCGAGGGGCUCUGCCCUGGGAUUCCCAGCUCCUUUCCAUCCUCCGCCUUUUGUUCGCUUCUGACAAUUGCUCUUUAUUUCUUACACACCCCCAGCCUCCCCCCCCGCACCCCCCUCCCUGCCCGCACUUGGCACCGUUUAGCUGUCUGCCUGCAAACUUAACAACCCCGGUUCUUGGUAUAAGCACUCAAAUUACCCUUCUUUCCACAUAUAAACACGGCCCGGGGUGUGCGGCUCUCCCCGGCCGCGGGGUCCCCCGGCACAGCCCGGCUCACCCGCACCGACCCCGGCCCCGGCCGGAGGGAGUUUCUGCUGCGGGACACGGCAGGAGAACACGAGCCGAACACAGAACCCCCGCUCUGCGUGGCUCCCCCGGGCUAGCGCUCAGGUGGUGUUGACAGAAGAAGAUGGGUAGGAGAUUUCAAUGGCAGGCACACGUGUCCCGGGAGAGGGUGAGACACCAACAGAGAUGGAAGAAAUGAGCCUUGGACAGCUGCAGGAGAGAAACCCAAACCUUCUUUGGAAAUGGGGUCACCAGCAGGCUGGGGGCCCCUUAUGAAAUACUCAUCCCUCCAGACAUCUGAGAGCAUCAAGCAGCCAUCAGGACCUGGCGUGGGUCCCAUCAGCACUGGGGAAGGUGCAGGGCUGAGCGAGGGGCUGGCAGAGACUCUGCCCCCCUUGUCUGUGGAGCUCUUAGAGGAGAGAAGGGUGCAGGAGGAGACCCCUCCUGAACAUCAGCUGCUCUGGUGGGGCUGUGCCAGACCUCCACUGCAGCCAAAAAUCACCUGGGGAAGAAGAGACACCGAACCCUCUGCAGCAGGGUGGGGCUGCAGGUUCCUGCCAGGCUUGGCGUGGGGAUGCUCCUGGCUCCACUGACCUCCCUGUGCUGCCCACAAUUCCCAUGCAGAAUGUCAAGCUGAACCCAGCAGAGACGGGAGCAGCCAGGAAGGGCAGGGAGGAAGGUGGGGACAGCAGAAGUGACAGGGAGCACAGCCUGGGCACCCUGUGCUGCUCUUGUGCCAGUGACUGUGGGCAGUGACAGGGCGCAUCUUCCGAUGACACGGAGAUGCAAGGCAGGAUGCUCCUGGAGCAGAGCAGUGAGGGUGGCAGGUGCCACUCAGAACCCAUCACGCUGCUGGGAUGUGCCCACGGAUAGAAGGGGAAAUGUGAAAGGGACAGCAGGGAAUCAAGGGAACACAACAGCACCUAAAGUAACGGGGUGAAGACUGAACGUUUGAAACAAAGGUGGUCUGGGCUCAGAUGGGAGAGAAGAUCCAUCCUGGAGCAUCUCCUUCUCUGGAAGAUGAUUUCAGAGGGGUUGUGAAUGUUUGAACUGGGUCAGGAUUUGCCUGGGAAACGCUAGGCUGGUGUUUCUAGUGUGAUUGCAACCAAGCCAGCUCUGCUGGGGAUGGCUGCAAUGUUUAUUCCUGCUGGGGAAGGAAGGGAUCAGCUGACUUUUAGAUCCCCAAAACCAUAAAGAGUGGGAAUGGGCCCUUUCCCAUGAUCAUGGACCAUGAUCAUAUUACUUCACCUCAGGGCUUUUCACAUGUCAGCCAUGUCCCAAAAAAAUUAAAUUAUGAAAAAGGGGGGAAUAAACCCCAAUGCAAGCAAGGCAGCACAACCUCCUCCCCUGCCUUAGGGCUGCCCUUACUAAAGGCUCUAUUGACCCUGUUUCCUAUUUUUGGGACCUGAAAGGUGAACUGUAGAUACAGAGCAAACAUCCCUUCAUGGAGGUCUCUCUUUUCACCCUUAGAACAGAGACCCUCCCAUUUCCACAGCUGCUGGGUGCAGCCUCCUGGUCUCACCAUCACAGCCUUUUGUCCCAAGCAAGAGCUUCCUUUGGGAAGGCAAUUUCAUUCCCAUGCACCUUCCCUGGUUUUCUUUGGGUCUGUGUCCCCUCUCCAGCACCCCUUUACCCUAUUAAUAGCCUUUGACUGUCCUCACACCUGCAGACAAUCUGGUCCCCAACCACCUCCACCUCCCCCCUUCCUCAAAAGCUUCCCUCAGCUGUCUUUAAGUCGUAGCUGAAAUCUGUGGUAUGUAGGAGGAGAAAUUCAGUCUGACAGCAGUUUAAAACACCGCACUACUUGGCAGAUUUAAAUGCUAUUUUAAAUAUAAGCUAUGACACAACGGACAAAAAUAGCAUUGAAAAUACCCUGUCAUGUUCCAUAUUGCGAGGAAUAGGGAAGCAGACCAGGCUAGAAAGGAGCAGAGAGAGGGGCCAGAUGGAGAGGAGAGGUUAUUUUGUUUGUUUUAAAGAAACUGGAUAAAUGUAUUUUGUAUGUGACUGAGUAAAUGUGUUUUGUAGAGCAACGAGCCAAAAAAAAAAAAAAUAAACCUUCUCAUGAAAAA